rnacentral:rRNA from 1 species
UACGGGGGGGGCAAGCGUUGUUCGGAAUUACUGGGCGUAAAGGGCUCGUAGGUGGCCAACUAAGUCAGACGUGAAAUCCCUCGGCUUAACCGGGGAACUGCGUCUGAUACUGGAUGGCUUGAGUUUGGGAGAGGGACGCGGAAUUCCAGGUGUAGCGGUGAAAUGCGUAGAUAUCUGGAGGAAUACCGGUGGCGAAGGCGGCAUCCUGGACCGACAUUGACGCUGAUGAGCGAAAGCCAGGGGAGCAAACGGG